AAGAGAUCUCACUGUUGUCAAAGGCUCGUCCUAGUCGCACUUAAGCCCGGAAUGUAGCACAUCACUGCAAGCACCAAGCUGCUUAUGCGUCCAUCUCAUCACCCAUGGGCUGUUUCUUGAAGAAGGGGGCACUAAACAAUAAACAUAGUUUUUUCAAUUCUUUUGUCCAUGUAAUUGCUUCUGUCAAUUAUAGUUAACGUUUUGGAACUAUAUCUAUUUUUAAAUAUUUUUUUCUUCAUUUGCCCCUUUCUAAAUUAAAGCAUGUGCUUCAAAUUAAGCUCUAGGUUUAGAACCCCUACACAGCUGAGGAGGUGAAAGCAAGGUGGGAGUAUCUCUUCUUUUUUUCCUCUUAUAAUACUAAGGGAGAUGGAUAAUCGCAAUGUGUUGAUUUAACUUGCUUGUGUGGUACUCAGCUCAUAUUAUAUUAUAUUAUAUUAUAUUAAAUUAAAUUUAUUAAUAACACAUUUUAUUUACAAGAACAACAACUAUUCCUUCCGUCCCAACUUUUUUGAUACUAUUUCAUGAUAUGUGGUGAAACAGAGUUAUAUCUGCAAAUCAGAACAGUUUGAGUGGGUGAAUAACUUGUAAUUGCUAAUAAAAAAGUUGAGUUAAGGUGCCACAAAAUUCUCUAUUGGAGUAAUGGCAAAUUGGCAACUAAAGAAAUGAAUAGUCAGGAUAGUAUUGCCUAAAAUAUUUAAUCUGUAUUUCAUCUCCUUAACUGCAUAGCUUACAUAAAGUCAUUGAGCUGUAACUCAUUCCAGUAAAAAAGAAAUGUGUGCUCUGCUCUUGAGCGUAGUGACAUACUUGAUCUCUUCUUUGCUGUUUAUGGUUAUCGGUUAUCAUAGUACGCCUUUACAGAUUUCUUACUUAGACGCUUAGGUAAACUUUUGUUCUCUUUCAAGUUUCAGGCGAUAUUUUCUUACACUUGCCUUGUGCCAUGGUUCUGAUUUCAGUUUAUGCCUUACCUCUUGAUAGACCAGUUGUUUCUUACUUCUCCAGUAACCAAAUCUCCUCAUAUGUAGGUACUGUAAUAUGAAGUUGAUCUUUGGUCUUCUAUUAAAGCAGUUCGAUCAGCGUUGGUGAAAUUUUGAGUCUCUUCUUGAAUUCUCCUUGAAGUACAUACAUUUGUCAAAUGCCCUCUUUAAAAUCUUCAAGAUUCUAUAAAAUGUUAUCAUCAUACAUUAACUUGCCAUAUUGACUGAAAAACUAAAAUGUGACCCAGUAGGGGAAGGAUAAAUAAGUUUCCCAACCAGAGUUUUGAUUAUACCUUGUCUUCUCUUUAGAACCUAGAUUGGUGGUUGAAUACAGUAAAGUUCUAGCAUGCUUGAAGCCAAGAAUUCCUAUUUCUUUUAACAGGUCUCAGACAGUGCUUCCAUUAAGAGAAAUAAAUUCCAUGUUUUGAUCAAACCACUCCAUCCCUAGAAAAUACUUGACAUGAAUUAUGACACUAUAAUUUUAAAAAGAACUGACAGGAUUGAAUUAGAUGUGGUUAGAGCUUUAUCUGGGAAUGGAUCAACCAUUUAUUAUAAUGGCAAUUGACAAGUAUUCUGGACUGACUCGUCAUUGGUUACAGGCUCAUAUUCCUGUGUGAAUUUUCUCUCCUCACAAGUAGUAGUCUUAAAAUAAUACUCUCUGUCCUAUUUUAUGUGACACAGAUCAUAUGCCUGUAUGAAUUUGCCCUCCUCAUAAGUAGUAGUUUCAAAAUAACACUCUCUCCGUCCCAUUUUUAUGUGACACACUUCCCUUUUUAAUUUGUCCCAAGAAGAAUGAAACCUUCCCAUAUUUAGAAACAAUUGAACAUUUUUUUUUUGAAACUGGUAAGGGUUUACGAUAAGGGUGCGGAUCUAGAUGUCGGAUUCUUCAUGAUCUAAACAUAAAGAUCCGGGGAUAUAGAUCCACCUGCGGAUACGGGUGAGGGAAUUCGGCUAAAAAUAAUUCAAAUUUCUAAAAAAAAGUUGUCUAAAUUAUGAGACAUAACAUGGAAAACUUACAAGGUAUUCCAAGGAAAAAUGUUAAUCAAGAAGAGAAUCCCAUUAGGAGAAUAAAAUAAAAAGGACUGAUAUGGAAAUUUCUAUGUACAUGCUAUUCCAAUUUCUUCAAUUUCUCCUUAGCUUUUGUUUUGAUUACAUAAAUAAGCAAUUCCAAUUUCUUUAUACAAGCUAUUCCAAUUUCUUCAAUUUCCAAUUUCUUCAAUUUCCAAUUCGGUUGACUAAAUCUGGUAUGGAUCCCACACCAAUGUCGUGAAACACUGGUGCGGCUCCAAAACUGAAGAACCCUGAAACAUUCUUAUUGAUCAAAUAUGUUGCUCCGGGAAGAAUAACUUACCUUUAGAAAAGAUUGUGUAUAUAGGAGAAAAAUGUUAGAUCAAUGGUGUGUGUACAUAUAUGUUAUAACUUAUAAUUGAAUUUUAAAAAAAAAAUUGAUGAAAAAUAUUAUACUCUUUGUAAAGGUUAAUUUAAAACAUCAAAUUCAUAUGCAUUGCUGUGUACUUCCUUGGUCGUCCUUGAUUAAGCAUAAAAAUAUAUGACCAGUUUAGUAGUCAUUUUAUUAUAUUUAGAUAGUAUUUCUCGAUCCAAGAAAUAUUACCUACAUAAUUCUAUAUUCUAAUGAGAAAAUGGCCAAAUGACUCCCCAAUCUAUUACCAAUUUCCAACUACACACCUAUACUUCACGGGGGUCCUAUUACCCUCCGAGCUAUUUUAAAGUGGAAUUUUUUCCUCCUUGGCAUAUAUCUUGUGGUGAAAUACACUCACUUGACACGCAUAUCUCACCAUUUAAUAAUAAUUUUUUAAAAACAAAAUUACUCCUCCUUCCUCUUCCUUUCUUCCCAAAUUAUUUUUUCAACCCUAACUAUAAUAAAUAGCAUUUUUUACCUCAAUAAAUUUCUAUAUCUCUAACAAUUUAUAAAAACGAAUAUUCAAGUCAUCUUUUUUCUUUCCCAUUCUUUAGUUUUCUCUCUAAAAUUUUCAUGAUUAAUUUAUAAUUUGAGUUUUUGAUUUUGAUUCUUCAUGGGUUUUAGGAGAAUAUGUAGGAUCCUUCUUCAAAAAUGUAGAAGAAAUUGUUUUGUUUUAGUUUCUUUCAAUAAGUUUAAAGGUAUUUUUUAAAUAUACAAUUACUUCACUUUGAUUUUGUUACUCUUGAGUCCAUGGCUUUUAAAAAAAUAAUUAAAAGGUAGUAUGUUUUUUUUUAAAAAAAAAAAUUAAUUUGUUAGCUGUGUUCAAACAAGUCUAAUGAAAAAUUAUUUAUUCAUAAAAUGCAUUUGUUGUUGAUAAUUAAAAUUAGGCAACUCACUCUCUCAAAGAGAGUGAUAUACACUCUCUCUGCGAACUCAGCACUUAGGGGAUUAUUGAAUCCAUUUUAAGUAGUUCAGGGGUAAUAGGACUCCCGCGAAGAAUAUGUGGGUAGUUUAAAAUCUGGUAAUAGAUUGGAGGUCAUUUGGCCAAUUUCCUCUAUUCAAAUUAAAGCUGAUUUUAAAUUUGUGUGCUGUAGUAUUGAAUAAGAGUUGGAAAAGUAUAACAUCUAAUCGACUUAGUACCACCAAAUUAAAGUAGCAAAGAUGAAGGAACUACUGAUAUGACUUCCAAUUAUCAUUGGAUGUUAUGCAAUACAAAUGCUUCUUUCAUCAAACAGCUUCAUAAUUUGAUAAUUGUUGCAAAGAUGCGUUAUCUGCUUCAUCUCUGCUUUGUAGUUCUACCCUAUGAUGUGUGAAAGACUGCAUUCUUUUUGCUAUUCUUCUCCCAGAUUUGUAAAUUUAUUUGUCAAAUUGCCCUUUACCAUUAGCAGCCUGUCUAGAUCAGGUUGAUUCCUCAGCAUCUAUCCAAAAUUGUACUUGAACUUAAUUUAAAGUAAUUUAGCUCAAAUCCAUAGUUAGUGAAAGGCUUGUGCAUGCACUACUUAGUUACUUAUAGGAAAAAAGAUCCUAGCAAUCCCUUUUUCAGUCUCAUGUUUCCCAGGGUGGUCUUGUUUAAUAGAGACUCUAUAUUGAAUUCAGUAGAAUUAUUCAUUAACUUCAGAAUGUUAAUGUAUUAUCAGUUCCAAAGAACCCAUGCAAGGCGGAACUAAUCUUCGUGCGAAUGGAUUUAGAAUGUGAAUUAUAGCUUUAUCCUAGCAACAACAUUUUUUUUGAAAUUAAUAGGGCCUGUGAAGACCAAGUUACAAUGAAUGUGAUCUGAGUAAAAGCUACACAGAAAAUUGCUAGAUAACUAUAGAGACUCUAGGAACUGUAUGAGAGUCUCUGUGUCACUUAUAUAUUCUUGUUUACACCAAAAUGCAAAAGCAGAAUACAAUUAAGCCUUAUCUUCUGGAGUAGGGUUGCUUUUGUUCUCAAAACAUCUUGAAUUCCUUUCCUUCCUGAUACUCCUCCAUAUGCAGCCUGGGAUUAUAUUCCAACUAGUUUUUUGAGCGUUUGUUCCUCCUUUCCUACUCCAGCGAGAUAUCAUAUCUAGUGUAUUCAUUGGCAUUGUCCAGCUCAAACUGAUCAUUGCUAGAAAUAUGUCCCAGAGUUGAGAAGUCACCUUAUAAUGCAAAAAAAAAAGAUAGCUAUUUGUUUCUGCAUUUCUUCCACAUA